UCCUAGCCAAAUUCUAUUAUAAUGACUAAGCCCACUAACUGAACGACUGAUCCCACAUUAGCUAGAGUGAAUCUGAGCAUUUAAUUUGUACUAAGCUAGACUUGAUUUUGGCCGUUGAUUUGCACUACACGUGCCAUUCUUAUAUAGGCACGUGGUCUUCUAUUCUCAACCCUAAUACGCUACUUUCCCAAUCGACAAAGAAUUCGGCCAACUCCCAGAACUUUACAUAAUGGAGUUUAGAUAGCUUGGAAAACAAAUGAGCAGUAUUGUCAAAUUUGCCAUCUAAAGUUUGA
rnacentral:lncRNA from 1 species